AGCUCCAAUAGCGUAUAUUAAAGUUGCUGCAGUUAAAAAGCUCGUAGUUGGAUUUGUGGCGCGGCCGUCCGGCGGGGCUCCUUCAUUGGGGCCGUUUGUCUGGUUUUUCGGCCGCUCCAUUCUCGGGAAGCGGGUUGCUGGCAUUAGGUUGUCGGCGGCUUCGCGCCCGUCUUUUACUGUGAAAAAAUUAGAGUGUUCAAAGCAGGCUUAGGCCGUUGGAUAUAUUAGCAUGGAAUAAUGAGAUAAGGCCGCGGUGGUCUUUUCUGUUGGUUUGCCACACGCCGCAAUGGUAAAAAGGAACAGUUGGGGGUAUUCGUAUUCAACUGUCAGAGGUGAAAUUCUUGGAUUUGUGGAAGACGAACUACUGCGAAAGCAUUUACCAAGGAUGUUUUCAUUAAUC
rnacentral:rRNA from 1 species